rnacentral:rRNA from 1 species
UACGUAGGGGGCGAGCGUUGUCCGGAAUUAUUGGGCGUAAAGGGCACGCAGGCGGUCUCUUAAGUCUGAUGUGAAAUCUCGUGGCUUAACUACGAGCGGUCAUUGGAAACUGGGGGACUUGAGUACAGAAGAGGAGAGUGGAAUUCCACGUGUAGCGGUGAAAUGCGUAGAGAUGUGGAGGAACACCAGUGGCGAAGGCGGCUCUCUGGUCUGUAACUGACGCUGAGGUGCGAAAGCGUGGGUAGCGAACAGG